rnacentral:lncRNA from 1 species
GGGGUAGAUGCGUCGAAUCGUCAGACCGAGGGAAGGCCCAGAUGCCGCUACGUGUCACGAUCUGGGAGAUCCUCGUUGGGCGUGCUCUCAUUCCAGCCGUCGAGGGGCACUAUAUAUAUAGGGCCACCUGCAUCCAAAACUUCACUUUUCGUAGCCUUGUUGCCGAGACUCUGGUCGAGUGGUCCCCUUUUGUCUCAGGUAGUUGUCCCCGUCUCCCUCCUUAGA